GUGUACCCGCGGCAAGACGGAAAGACCCCGUGAACCUUUACUAUAGCUUGACACUGAACAUUGAGCCUUGAUGUGUAGGAUAGGUGGGAGGCUUUGAAGUGUGGACGCCAGUCUGCAUGGAGCCGACCUUGAAAUACCACCCUUUAAUGUUUGAUGUUCUAACGUUGGCCCGUAAUCCGGGUUGCGGACAGUGUCUGGUGGGUAGUUUGACUGGGGCGGUCUCCUCCUAAAGAGUAACGGAGGAGCACGAAGGUUGGCU
rnacentral:rRNA from 1 species